AGCAGUCGCCACGGGAAUACGAAGGGGGCUAGCGUUGUUCGGAUUUACUGGGCGUAAAGGGCGCGUAGGCGGACUGAUAAGUCAGGGGUGAAAUCCCAAGGCUCAACCUUGGAACUGCCUUUGAUACUGUUUGUCUUGAGUUCGAGAGAGGUAAGUGGAACUGCGAGUGUAGAGGUGAAAUUCGUAGAUAUUCGCAAGAACACCAGUGGCGAAGGCGGCUUACUGGCUCGAUACUGACGCUGAGGCGCGAAAGCGUGGGGAGCAAACAGGAUUAGAUACCCCUGUAGUCCCUGUCUCUUAUAC
rnacentral:rRNA from 1 species